rnacentral:lncRNA from 1 species
CCAUGUCAACUCGCUUAAGCUCUCAUCAACUGCCAUACAAUGAAGCUCGAUAUCAACACUCUAUCUCGCUCUGAAGUAAACGCAGCGUUUAAUGUUUACAAUCUUCACAAUAGAAAAAAUGCCUCAGUACGCUGUAAAUUUUGCAGAAGUAAGGCAUUUUAUGCGAAUAUUUCCCGCCAACGAUCGCAUCUCAAGCAAUGCCAUCACUUCCUUAUGAACGCUCGCAAGAUGGCCCAAAAGCCUCAAAAUAAGGAUAUUCUAGUAACCCCAGCGUCAU